rnacentral:tRNA from 1 species
GCCCUCAUAGUUUAAUGGACAGAACACAAGAUUGCGGAUCUUGAAAUCGAGGUUCGAUUCCUCGUGGGGGCACCA